GAUGAAGAACGUAGCGAAAUGCGAUAAGUAAUGUGAAUUGCAGAAUUCAGUGAAUCAUCGAGUCUUUGAACGCACAUUGCGCCCCCUGGUAUUCCGGGGGGCAUGCCUGUCCGAGCGUCAUUGCCGCCCUCAAGCACGGCUUGUGUGUUGGGCCCCCGCCCCCCGGCUUCGGGGAGCGGGCCCGAAAGGCAGCGGCGGCACCGCGUCCGGUCCUCGAGCGUAUGGGGCUUCGUCACCCGCUCUGUAGGCCCGGCCGGCGCCCGCCGGCGACCCCAAUCAAUCUUUCCAGGUUGACCUCGGAUCAGGUAGGGAUACCCGCUGAACUUAAGCAUAUCAAUAAGCGGAGGA
rnacentral:misc_RNA from 1 species